GUUUGCUAGCGAGGGGUGGAGAGAAACGUCCGGGGAGGCGGCGGCGACCCCGAGUGGAGGAGCAGAACUAAGAAAGGGAGGCCUUAUGGAAAGAUGUUUUUUAAAAAAUUGUUUCAUACCUUGCGGAGGAGGGAGUUGGAUGAGGUGGAAGUCUGAAAUGAGUGGAAAAGUCACUUUAGCUGUUUAGUGACAUGAAAGUAUUGACGUGUGUGGAUCCCUAUAUGUAUAUUGCAAGAGGAUUGCUGGGAGGAGUAAUAACUAUAAAAUGAUAAUGACAAUAAUGGCCAACAUUUUUUGAGGGCUUACUUACCAAGGAACAGUCCUAAGUGCUUUACUUCUGUUACCUCAUUUAAUCCUCAAAACACCUCAAUGAGAAUGUCUUAAACCAUUCUACCUUAUGAGAAAUUGGAUGUUCUUGCAGAUAGUCAUUGUGGGAGAAAACGUUUCAUUUAAGUCCCAGAUGAGGACCGAAAACUUGAAAUCAGAGGAGCAUCUGAAAUCAAGUAAUAUUAGGCAGGCAGAAGUCCUGAAGGCUGACAUGACAGAUUCUAAGCUGGGUCCAGCUG
rnacentral:lncRNA from 10 species